rnacentral:rRNA from 1 species
CCGAGACACGGCCCAGACUCCUACGGGAGGCAGCAGUUGGGAAUUUUGGACAAUGGGCGCAAGCCUGAUCCAGCCAUGCCGCGUGAGUGAAGAAGGCCUUCGGGAUGUAAAGCUCUUUCGGCCGGGAAGAAAUCGUGGUCUCUAACAUAGGCCAUGGAUGACGGUACCGGACUAAGAAGCACCGGCUAACUACGUGCCAGCAGCCGCGGUAAUACGUAGGGUGCGAGCGUUAAUCGGAAUUACUGGGCGUAAAGCGUGCGCAGGCGGUUUGCUAAGACAGGUGUGAAAUCCCCGGGCUUAACCUGGGAACUGCGCUUGUGACUGGCAGGCUAGAGUACGGCAGAGGGGGGUGGAAUUCCUGGUGUAGCAGUGAAAUGCGUAGAGAUCAGGAGGAACACCGAUGGCGAAGGCAGCCCCCUGGGCCUGUACUGACGCUCAUGCACGAAAGCGUGGGGAGCAAACA